rnacentral:lncRNA from 1 species
UUUAAUAAUUGCAUUUUAUUACUUCUUAAAUAAAUAUGACUUUAAAAAAACAUUACAUUACGUAAAAGCAAAUAUGAAAACAAAAAGCAUACAAUAAUUAAGCAAUAGUAUUAUAAAUCAUUUAUGCAUAAAUGAGACAAAUAUAGACUAUUUAGUAUUGAUUCAAUAAAUUAACAUAAAUAUAUAUUGGUUUGUAUCAUUUAAAAAAAAUUGAUACAAAUCUAUAUAUUUACAUCAAUAAACAAUCGUUGUAUUUACUAUUUUUUAUUAGUGUCACUAAUAAAAUGAUACAAAAUAAAAAAUCAAUUAAAUAAAAGAUACAAAAUUAGUAUCAAUAAUAAAAUGAUGCUAAUACAAAAUUAGUAUCAAUAAUAAACAAUCAUCACAUGAUUAUAAAACUCUUCUCUAUGAACUCUUUCCAGUGAUGAAUGAUGAUCAAAUAAUGUGAAGAUGUCAAAAAGUAGCAGUCACCAUUCUACAAGAGCUUGUAGUAGCAGUCACGUCCUGAGAAGAGAGUUCGGUAGUUUCUUCCACAUCUCAACCACAAACGCCUCACCCACUCUAUCCACCUUCACACCUUCUUGUACUACCUCAUCGUGUGCC